UUUAAAACCCGAUAAACACAAAACCCAAUCUCUGCCUUCUCCUUCCUCAGUCAAAACAGUCCCACCACAACUGAGUGAUAAAAAAAUAAAUAAAAAAUUCAAUGCACCACCACAAUCUCUGCCUUUCUCCUUUCCCGUUUCACCCACAACCACAAUCUCUGCCUUCUCCUUUCCCGUUUCACCCACAACCACCACAACUCAGUAGGCAGCAGCACCUCCACCACCCACAACAACCGCAACACACAAACCACCAUAAUCAGACCAUAUCAAACCCACAACCCAAAAGCAAAAAACGAUUCUGAAGAUCUGCGAUUGCCCAAAGUUAAAGUCACUGCUGAACUUCUUUCCUAUAACUUACAGAAAUUCGAGAUCUGGGGGAGUCCGAUUCUAGAUGAACGUUGCGAAUCAUCUGGCCGUUGGGGAGACGAUAUGGUAAGUUAGGUUUGAUUUUUGAUUUUGUUAUUAAUCCUGACCCUGUUCAAAUGCAACCGCGCUCUCAAUAUUCCUGCCCCUACAGGUUUUAAUAGAACAAAUUGCAGUAACUAUGACAUCUAUUAUAGUCCUCCACAUUAUAAUUUAACGCCCUCUCCACCUAAAUGUCCAAUCAUUCAUCUCCCAUUGAACUGGCAAAAUGAAGGUAAUGACCUGUUUAGAUUGUUAUCUGCUGAGAUUUUACUUGAAGUGCGUAUGACUGAAGGUUGUCGCGAGUGUUAUAUCAAAGGAGGUCAAUGUAAGAUUGACCACAAAGGAAAAGCUUAUUGUACCAAAGGAACGAAAGGGAAUAAUAGAAGCAGGGUAGUAGCAUUAGGUAAGAUGCCUCUUCAAUCAGAUAUCGUGUUGCAAUAAAUAUUCGAGUUUGCAAGGAAAUUAAAUUAUUCAUCAGCCUCCUUUUCUCAGCCUCUUCGUUUAUCAAGUUCCAAAAUCAACCAAAGCCUCAACUUUGAACACACCCAUUUGCAAUUUUGGUUGAAUGAUGAGAAAAAGCAGAGCAUGAUUGAAGACAUCUACAACACCAAGAAGCAGAAAAGGCGGAGAAAUAACUGAAAGGGUUUUUUGGUAUUGGUAUUGGCGGAGGAAUUUGGGUUAGGGGAGAGAGUUGGAGAGAGAUCUAUGGGAGACCCUUCACUACUGUCAAACCAGUCCCCUCUAAUACUAUGAAGAGAUUACUGUAUUAAUUGUUAAUCUGACACAACCGGAUGAAGCAUGGAGUCGAAUAUUAUGUAUAUGAGAUUGCUCUGGUAUUGGACAGAUUGUUUUUCUUCUCUUUUAGUUUUAUACUCUUGCACAGAUUGUUUGUUCUCUCUUCCGUUAUUAUUAUUAUUAUUUUAUCUGAAUGCAACCAAAUGACCAAUCUUUGGAACUUUAGCAUAUUUUUUUAUAUAUGUUUUAUCUAAUUACUAGGUGUCUAUGUGUCGGGAGGAACUGGAGCAUGACUAUGAGAAGAAGAAUGAAAAGCCACUUCAAUCUGCAUAUUUUAUAAUUUUAAUGAGAACCAAAACAGUCACAAUGAAUCAAAGAGUAGAUAUGCAAAACUUGAAAUCUUUGACUUUCAAUUCUUUUAUUUGUUUGUAUAUUAUAUUAACUUGAAAUCUUAUGAUUUUGUGUUUAUUUGUGUCUUACACAUUACAAUUAGGUGUUGGAUUUUGAAAAUUUUCUUGGUUUUAAUAGUUGAAGGAUGGGAGGGAGGAAGGUGCUAAGCAAAUACUACGCACCUGUCCAACCUAGAGGCUUGAGGGGUCAAGCACACAUGAUGCUUCCCAUAAGUAGAUGUUAUUGGUGACAAUUAUUUAGGUAUUCGGAGGUUCUGAUUCUACUGCAAAUGUACAAAUGCUUUGCUGAGCUUACCAUCAAGACUGACUCACAAAAUUUCAACUAUAUUGUUGAGUCUGGUGCUACCAGAAAUUUUGAACCUGUGUGAAGAUGAUGAGGCAGCAGAGACAAUAACCAUAAAAGAGAAGUUGGAGAGAUGGAAGAUGCAAUGAAAUCUUUAGAGAACAAAAACCUUGGAUUUGGAAAGAAAAAUGGACAUCAUUACUACACUGGAUGGGAUGAAAUCUAUGAAGUUCUUUUUUUUGUAUUUCAUGGACUUAAUUGGCAGACAAGGUACCCCCACAUGGUACUACUCUUUCUUAUCAAUUUUCAGCUUCAAUCUUCUUGGGUUUAAUCCUUAUUCAAAUGUGUUAAAACUUUUAAGGUUUUUGUUUUAAUUGGUGGUAGUUGAGAAUUGAGUGAGGAUCUUGCAAAAUAUGCGAAAGUGUUAGAAGUAGGGGCUAAUGGAUUGGGCUAUGAGCUGCUAAAAGACUUGGCUCUAUCAGGUUUCCAUUAUUGGCUUCAAGGCUCUUUAUUGUAUGCAUUUUCUUAUGAGACAUUUUGGCUCUAUCUUUGUAUUCAAUAUUGAAGUUAAGGUAGUUAGAUGUAUAGUUUAGUGAUUUAGGGGGGUGGAUGAAAAUUGUAAGUGAAUAUGAUACUUGGCAGAUUCUUUCAAACAUUGUUCUUUCAAUUGGAGUGACUAAUUGGUUGCUAUACAUAAAGCUCAACUUGGACAUUGAUGCUGAAA